AGAUUAGCAAGUACGUGCAAGAAAUGUGGAGUCAUUCCUUACCCUCUCCUCUGUUCCAACAAAACCCAUAUUCUCAUUCACUCUACCAUUGCACUUUUCCCACGGUUUCUUUCCCCCAAGCUCCUCCUCAUAGUCUCAUGAGCAUGUAUGGCAAAUGGGUUUUCAAUUCUCUGACUGUAAGGUCCAAAUCCAAACCCAGCAUCAACAGAGAGCUUAUGCUGCCCCCGUACAAUGUUCUUAUUACCGGUUCAACCAAAGGCUUUCAAAUUGCUAGAAGAAGCUUGAGGAGAAUUUAGCACAAACGAUUUCACUACUCUGAUUAUUAUGUGUUUUUUAAUUUCUCUCUGUUUUCUAUAGGAAUUCUCAUGAAUAAACAGAUUUUGUUAUAAAUAGUUAUGUCAAAGUUCAAUUUUUUCAUUGAGUAUUUGGAGUGUUGAAAGACUUUAAAAAACUUUUUUCUUUUCCUUUUUUUUAGAAGGGAUGGUUCUGCUUCUUUAUUGAAUCCAACAAGUCUUUUUGUUCCAAGCAAGAUUUAUUUUUCCAAAGUAAAGAUGAGCAGAAGAGUUUCUAGCAGUCAAGAACCAGUUAAAAAUGACAUUUCAAACAUGGGAUUUCAGACAACAUCGAUACCAGACAUUACAUUUGCUCUAGUAGUGGUAUAGGAUAUGCUCUGGCCAAAGAGUUUCUAAAAGCAGGUGACAAUGUUGUAAUCUACCCAAGAUCAGCAGAUGGUGUGGAAUCAGCUGUCCAACAACUUUGACAAGAAUUUGGGGAGCAGCAUGUGGUACUCAAUGUGAUGUUAGAGAAGGACAGGAUGUGAAAGAUUUAGUUGCAUUUGCACAAAGAAACCUCGGAUACAUUGAUAUAUGGAUUUGCUGCAUAUGGGGCAACAAAACGCAGUGUGGUACAUUUAACCAAAUCAUUACAGAGCUCCCUGAUUUUUUGCAGGCGGGAUUGCGGAUGCAAGAUGUCAAAAAUGUUGUUGUGCAUAACCUUUCGGCGAAGUUUUUUAUCAAUGUUUUGGCAGAACCAGCUGAAGUGGUUGCGAAUCCAUCCUUGCCAAUGGAUCAUGAAGCCAACUUACAUCCGUUUUCUUACUGGCUUGAAAGCCUACACUCAAAUUUUCUCAAGAAUUGCUUUUGGUUCUAGAAGAAGCAGAUAUGUGCUUGAAAAUUGAUUGGGAUGAGAGAUAAAUGAACUCAUAUUUGAGAGACCACCUCAUAAUGUGCAUAAAGUAGUUCUUGCUACAAAUAUGGCGGAAGCAAGUAUUACAAUCAAUGAUAUAGUUUUUGUUAUUGACUGUGGAAAAGCAAAAGAGACAACUUAUGAUGCUUUAAAUAAUACACCUUGUCUACUACCAUCUUGGAUAUCACAAGCAUCUGCACGACAAUUAGCAGGGACAGCAAAGUCUAGAUUUUCUGCAAAGGAUUACAGUGAUUAUAUGGCUCUUGUUCGUGCAUAUGAAGGAUGGAAAGAUGCAGAAAGAGAAGGAUCUGCAUAUGAGUAUUGCUAGAGACAUUUCCUCUCAGCUCAAACUCUUCAGGCUAUCAUUCUCUUCGGAAGCAGUUUAGCUUCAUUUUAAUAGAUGCUGGCUUGGUAAUGAAGAUGCAAGCAUCAACAACAGAUUAAGUCACAACCAAUCAUUAGUCCGUGCAAUUAUUUGUUCUGGCCUUUUUCCUGGCAUAGCAUCUGUAGUGCACCGAGAGACAUCCAUGUCUUUCAAAACAAUGGAUGAUGGCCGGUUUUACUAUAUGCAAGGAUGUGGUGCGCCUCUGAACCCCUUUUCAUGUAUGAUAAUUAAGGUCCAGUUAUGUAUGUCAAGCCAGCAUCAUAUACUCCUGUACUCUCUCUUUUGCCCACCAAAUAAUAUUUGGAAACCAAAUGUGGUUCUUAUGCGUAAACAACCAAACAACCAUGGGUUGUGAAUACCAAGAGUCAAGGGCAAACAGCAUAAAUAUGAUGUGAAGUUACUAUUUUAUCUCCAAGUUCAAGCUGCUAGGAAGAGUCCAAUUAUUUAUCAUUCGUUAGCAAUUCCACCUAUCUACAUGGGAAUGGGAGGUGGCAGAUUCUCACCUUUCCACUAAUGACCUUUCAUGCUUUACAGCUAUGAUCGUGUACUUUAAUGCGUAUCAGAAGUCUACAAUCUAGUUUAAUGCCUCAAAAGUAUAGAAUUUUGUGAAUGCACGUUACCAAACUAUUCCUUAUCCAUGGCUGGUAUUUGGUGAAAAAGUUAAGGACAAUACUGUUUUCAUGUGUGAUUCCACUGGUGUCUCUGAUUCAAUACUCAUUCUUUUUGGUGUUGCGCUGAACCAAGGAGUGCAGCCUGGACAUUUGAAAAUGUUAGAAGGGUUUGUCAACUUCUUUAUGGAUCCUAGUUUGUCAGAAUGCUAUUUGAAGCUAAAGGAAGAACUUAACAAGCUCAUCCAAAAGAAGCUUGACGAUCCUAGCCUGGACAUUCACAAGGAAGGGAAAUAUCUUAUGCUUGCGGUUCAAGAGCUGGUAUAUCUGGAGAUCAAUGUGAAGGGAGAUUUGUAUUUGGCAGGGAUAGCAAGAAGCCAAAUGAGUCUGGUAACGAUGACAGAUUCACAAGAGAUGGAACGAAUCCCAAGAGCUUGCUUCAAACUCUGAUAAUGAGGGCAGGGCACUCUCCUCCAAAAUACAAACCAAAGCACCUCAAGACAAAUGAGUAUAGUGCGCUGGUAGAGUUCAAGGGUUUGCAAUUUGUUGGAAAACCUAAGAAAAACAAGCAGCUUGCUGGAAGGGAUGCUGCUGUAGAGGCAUUGGCAUGGUUAACUCAUACUUCUGACAACAGUCGAGAUGAAGAUGACAAGCCCCCACCUGAUUUGACUCACAACAUUCGUAAACUUCUUGGGAAAUGUAGAAGAUCAAAGCGUUGGUCUGGUUGAUGAUGGAUGAUGGAAAAUGGUAAGAGAUUUGACAUAUAAUUUCUCGGAAUCCUUGGUUAGGAUUUCUGCACUUGUGACCUGCAGAAUGCAUUAUGUAGUAAAAUUUGGCGGCUGGAGGGUACAGGGAAGUUUUCUAACCACGUAAAUACUCAUUCAGUUACCUUCGUUAGGUGCAUGAAUAACAGCUUUCCUCAAAUGAGAUAAUCUUUACAAAGUUCAACUAUGAUUGCAUUAUUUUUCCAUAGCAAUGAGAAGUUUAUAACGGUGAAUAACUUCUCAUCAAAUUUUUGACCCCUAGUUCUGUAACUUAUCAUAAGUCAUAACUUGGCACACAGGAAGGUUCGAAAGUUUCCAACAAUACAGGGUUUCAUCUAUCUGUAGUUGAAACUAGUUCAGGUGAGCAAAAAGAUGGAGAACGCAAUGGCUUGACCAAGCAGUCACCCUCAGAAAGGAAACUGAAUUACAUUCGAUAGCUUUGUGGAAAAAUGUAUCCUUUUUAUCACAUAAAAUAUUGUAAUUUUCUGUAAAUUAUUCAAUGAACUCAUUCUUUAUUC